UACGUAGGGGGCAAGCGUUGUCCGGAUUUAUUGGGCGUAAAGAGCGUGUAGGCGGCUUUGCAAGUCCGUUGUGAAAACUCGAGGCUCAACCUCGAGACGCCGGUGGAAACUGCAAAGCUAGAGUCCGGAAAAGGAGAGUGGAAUUCCUGGUGUAGCGGUGAAAUGCGCAGAUAUCGGGAAGAACACCCGUGGCGAAGGCGGCUCUCUGGGACGGUACUGACGCUGAGACGCGAAAGCCAGGGGAGCAAACGGG
rnacentral:rRNA from 1 species